rnacentral:lncRNA from 1 species
CCACAACAACCUACCUUCAUCCAAGCCCCUACUGUAAGCGAAUUUCUUUCAAACUUCUAUUGCAGGCGGACUUCAGCCGGGCUUCUACAACAAGCGAUCUCCCUCCGGACUUCUAUAAAAAUUGGACUCCAUCCAAACUUCUACAGUAGAUGGGUUCCAGGCAAACUUCUACAACGGACGGGCUCCAGCAGUCAGAUUUCUACAAUGACCAACUAUCGACCUUCAAACAGUGCCAACCGGACUCCAACAACACCAACCGGACUUCCGCAGGAUCCUCCAGAGGAUGAACUUCCACAAUGCCUUCCGGACUC